AGUCACUGGGGGCCUGGUCAGUAGGGACAUGCACAGACCCAGGCCCAGGGGAUGCCCAAUGCUGGGAGGAGGCUCAGACAGCAGGAAGGAGAGAAGGAAGGAAGGAACUUCCGUAGUACCGAUGCCUACAAAAUUACAACACGUGGUGCUGUUUCUACUCCAUCACCAUGUUCGCUCUUUAUUUCCUAUGUAAUUCUCUAUUCAACCGGCCUCAGUUGAGCACAAAACCAUCCUUGUACCACCAUGAAUAGUUGGCCAUGGCUCUUUGAUAGCAAUUUUUGUUCUGCCGUAGAAAUUAUCCUUGAACCAGAAAAAAAAAUCCCCAAUUCAACACUCCAUUUUUGUGAAGAGCUGGUUCCGAAUUCUGGGUCACUUUUUGGAAAAAAUAUCUGUUGUGGUAAACAGUGCUGCAUCUGUGAUCUCAAGUCUCUACUGGAAUUGGAUAGAGAUGGUGAAUUUCAGCCAGAGCGCCCAAAGAACUCGUGUCCCGCGCUCCUGAACGCCAUCAGCCGCCGCACCUCCAUCUUCCCUCCUCCCACGAGUCUCCUGCUCCCCGUGACUCUGGCCUCCUCGCAGUGUUGCUGGGCCACGUCAGGAAGUGCUGGAGGACGUGGCAUUGCACCAACACCAGGCGGCCAGCCGUGUGGCUCAUCCCGCAAAUCAGGCUCUUCCUGUGCAUGGAGAUGGAGUCCCUCUGGAGGCAGCCCGUGGCCCUGUUCUCGGGCAGGUGGAGCAUGGAGACGACUGGGAACUUCACUAGACACGCAUCCAGCCGGUUCAAGGGCUUGUCGCGCCGUGCACCAGCUUGCAGGAGAAAGCCCAACGCCUCGCCAAGCACGAAGGCCUCCCUUCCCGACUUGAUGAAGGCAGAGUAGCGGUUGAGGUUGCGGCUCACAGUGACCGAGCUCCUGCCCACGUGGGGACCCAGGGAGCCGUCGAGCUCCAGCCCAGGCUUGGACCUGAAGAAGCUGGCAACCCGCGAACGCCAACAGGCACAGUCGAAAAAAGCAAAAGAAAAAUCCCAAACAAAA
rnacentral:lncRNA from 1 species